rfam:Paenibacillus uliginis N3/975 genome assembly, chromosome: I
AGGUAAUGUCUACUGCACCUCUAUCACUGUAGACACUCGGUUACGCUGUGGGUCUUAAUGACCUUAGACAUCAUUGUCGAGGGUGUGAUGUGAGGAUGGGUUUAAUGCCCU